rnacentral:rRNA from 1 species
GACGAACGCUGGCGGCGUGCUUAACACAUGCAAGUCGAACGGUGAACCUCUUCGGAGGGGAUCAGUGGCGAACGGGUGAGUAACACGUGGGCAACCUGCCCCCGGCUCUGGGAUAACUCCAAGAAAUUGGGGCUAAUACCGGAUGUUCACCGCUUCCCGCAUGGGUGGUGGUGGAAAGGGUUUCCGGCUGGGGAUGGGCCCGCGGCCUAUCAGCUUGUUGGUGGGGUAGUGGCCUACCAAGGCGACGACGGGUAGCCGGCCUGAGAGGGUGGCCGGCCACACUGGGACUGAGACACGGCCCAGACUCCUACGGGAGGCAGCAGUGGGGAAUAUUGCGCAAUGGGCGGAAGCCUGACGCAGCGACGCCGCGUGGGGGAUGACGGCCUUCGGGUUGUAAACCUCUUUCAGCAGGGACGAAGCGCAAGUGACGGUACCUGCAGAAGAAGCACCGGCCAACUACGUG